rnacentral:rRNA from 1 species
UACGUAGGGGGCGAGCGUUGUCCGGAUUUACUGGGCGUAAAGCGCGCGCAGGCGGUCCGUUACGUCCGUUGUGAAAGCUCCCGGCUCAACUGGGAGAGGUCUUCGGAUACGGGCGGACUCGAGGGAGGCAGAGGAAGGUGGAAUUCCCGGUGUAGCGGUGAAAUGCGCAGAUAUCAGGAGGAACACCAAUGGCGAAGGCAGCUCGCUGGGACGGUACUGACGCUGAGACGCGAAAGCGUGGGGAGCAAACAGG